ACGUAGCGAAAUGCGAUACUUGGUGUGAAUUGCAGAAUCCCGUGAACCAUCGAGUUUUUGAACGCAAGUUGCGCCCAAAGCCAUUAGGCUAAGGGCACGUCUGCCUGGGCGUCACGCAUCCCGUCGCCACCAACCCCAAUGCCCAGCCGGAUAUUGCGGGAGUUGGGG
rnacentral:rRNA from 1 species